rnacentral:rRNA from 1 species
GAAUUAAGGUUCGUACGUGACCUGCGGAAGGAUCAUUAAAGAAUGCCCCGUUUUUUGAAAUGGGUUCUGUUCCCAAACCGUGUAUACAUACUUUUGUUGCUUUGGCAGGCCGCCUUCGGGCGUCGGCUCACGCUGACAGCGCCUGCCAGAGGACCCAAACUCGUUUGUUUAGUGAUGUCUGAGUACUAUAUAAUAGUUAAAACUUUCAACAACGGAUCUCUUGGUUCUGGCAUCGAUGAAGAACGCAGCGAAAUGCGAUAAGUAAUGUGAAUUGCAGAAUUCAGUGAAUCAUCGAAUCUUUGAACGCACAUUGCGCCCCUUGGUAUUCCGAGGGGCAUGCCUGUUCGAGCGUCAUUAUGACCACUCAAGCCUAGCUUGGUAUUGGGGUUCGCGGUCCCGCGGCCCUUAAAAUCAGUGGCGGUGCCAUCUGGCUCUAAGCGUAGUAAUUUAUCUCGCUAUUGGGUCCGGUGGUUGCUUGCCAACAACCCCUAACUUUUAAGGUUGACCUCGGAUCAGGUAGGGAUACCCGCUGAACUUAAGCAUAUCA